GGGUCAGUAGGUUGGUCGUGCCACCGGUACGUACUGGUCUCACUGAUUCCUCCUUCCUGAAGAACCGUAAUGCCAUUAAUUUGGUGUUGCGGGGAAACAGGACUGUUACUUUGAAAAAAUUAGAGUGUUUAAGGCAAGCUAACGCUUGAAUACAUUAGCAUGGAAUAAUGAAAUAGGACGAUCGAUCCUAUUUUGUUGGUCUCUAGGAUUGACGUA
rnacentral:rRNA from 1 species